GCCCCAGUAGCUCAAUGGAUAGAGCGCCGGACUUCUAAUCCGAUUGUUGCAGGUUCGAGUCCUGCCUGGGGCG
rnacentral:tRNA from 1 species